UACGUAGGGUGCGAGCGUUAAUCGGAAUUACUGGGCGUAAAGCGUGCGCAGGCGGUUUUGUAAGCCAGAUGUGAAAUCCCCGGGCUUAACCUGGGAACUGCGUUUCUAACUGGCAGGCUUGAGUGUGGCAGAGGGGGGUGGAAUUCCGACGUGUAGCAGUGAAAUGCGUAGAGAUGUGGAGGAACACCGAUGGCGAAGGCAGCCCCCUGGGCUAACACUGACGCUCAUGCACGAAAGCGUGGGGAGCAAACAGG
rnacentral:rRNA from 1 species